rnacentral:rRNA from 1 species
UACGGAGGGGGCAAGCGUUACUCGGAAUUAUUGGGCGUAAAGGGCGCGUAGGCGGUUCCGCGCGUCGGAGGUGAAAGCCCCGGGCUUAACCCGGGAACAGCCUCCGAUACGGCGGGACUUGAGUCCGGGAGAGGGGAGCAGAAUUCCCAGUGUAGCGGUGAAAUGCGUAGAUAUUGGGAGGAAUACCAGUGGCGAAGGCGGCUCCCUGGACCGGUACUGACGCUGAGGCGCGAAAGCGUGGGGAG